rnacentral:rRNA from 1 species
CAGCAGCCACGGUAAUACGUAGGGUGCAAGCGUUAAUCGGAAUUACUGGGCGUAAAGCGUGCGCAGGCGGUUAUAUAAGACAGAUGUGAAAUCCCCGGGCUCAACCUGGGAACUGCAUUUGUGACUGUAUAGCUAGAGUACGGCAGAGGGGGAUGGAAUUCCGCGUGUAGCAGUGAAAUGCGUAGAUAUGCGGAGGAACACCGAUGGCGAAGGCAAUCCCCUGGGCCUGUACUGACGCUCAUGCACGAAAGCGUGGGGAGCAAACAGGAUUAGAGACCCGUGUAGUCCCUGUCUCUUAUAC